rnacentral:rRNA from 1 species
UACGUAGGGUGCAAGCGUUAAUCGGAAUUACUGGGCGUAAAGCGUGCACAGGCGGUUUUGUAAGUCUGUCGUGAAAUCCCCGGGCUUAACCUGGGAAUGGCGAUGGAGACUGCAAGGCUAGAAUCUGGCAGAGGGGGGUAGAAUUCCACGUGUAGCAGUGAAAUGCGUAGAGAUGUGGAGGAACACCGAUGGCGAAGGCAGCCCCCUGGGCUAAGAUUGACGCUCAUGCACGAAAGCGUGGGGAGCAAACAGG